AAGUCGUAACAAGGUUUCCGUAGGUGAACCUGCGGAAGGAUCAUUAAUGGAACUGCUUUCUCAGCAGUGUUCCACUGUCCUGUGUUGUGUGAGUGUGAAUGUAUGUGAGUGCAUCAUUAUUGGUGCAUUCAUAUCAUUGUUUGUUUAACCACCAGUAACAAAUGUUCUAAUUCUUGCAAGCAUGCUCAGCAAUGAGAAUGCUCAACAACAAUCGAAAACUGCCACCAAUGGAUCACUUGGUUCUC
rnacentral:misc_RNA from 1 species